AUGUCGAGCAAUGGCGGACCAACGGUCGCCGUCAAGCUAUUCGUCGACAAGGAGAAGAAGAGGGUGCUGUUCGCCGAGUCCGACAAGGACUUCGUGGACGUCCUCUUCAGCUUCCUCACGCUGCCUCUCGGCACCAUCGUCCGUCUCUUCAACAAGCAGUCUCAGAUCGGGUGCCUUGACGAGCUGUACAGGAGCGUGGAGAGCCUCGGCGAGGAUCACUUCCAAACCACGGCUUGCAAGGCCAUGCUCCUUCGUCCCGUCAAUGCCGCGGCGCUUCACUGCGACCGGCUUAAAGUCAAGGUUGACGACGCCGAUCUGACGGCAAUAUAUGUGUGCCUUCAGUCGGGCUGCUCGUGCUGCAGCCCACGGUACUUCAGCCCAGUCCGGGGUGUUACUUGCAGCUGUGGUGCUACCAUGAAUGGCACUAGGAGAUGGCCGCAAAGCUCUCUCGUUGCUGCUCAAGAAACUGCGGAUGGGAUUUUUUGCAAAGGUGGAUCGAAGUUCAUCAUCACUGACGAUCUCCAUGUUGCUCCUUCCACUACGAGUCUCAUGUUCUCCCUGAUGGACAAGCUUGGGCUCCAUGAAGAACUGGAUAUCAAGGAGGAGGUGCUACAUCUCAAUUCCAAUAAGAUAAUUAGCUUGCUUAGGAGAGCACUGCUGUCUAAGCACCCUUUGACUGGCCUAUAUUUCGAUGUUGCUAUAACGCGGGAUGGUGCGAGUUCUUACCAGCUUCCUCACAAUCUGUUUGCACCACAAGCAAUUGAGGCAGAGCUCAAGUUCAAACCAAUAACGAUAAAGCUUGUUCAGACAAAGGAUAAUUCCUCGGUGUUGUACGCAGAAGUUAAACAAGACUUGGUUGAUCUUUUCUUUGGCCUCCUUUGCAUUCCUGUUGGGUCUAUAUUGAAGACUUAUACUCAACUGUCACCAGAUGGAUGUCUUGAUAAUCUCUACAAAAGUGUAAAUGGAGCAGGAUGUGUAAAACAAGACUGCAGAAACUUACUCCUAUCCCCAAAGCUGGCCCCUUUCUUUGGGUGCAGCAGUAAUGUGCUCCAAGUAGAAGAAUUACCUCGGAGAUGCCAUAACUCUCCAAGUUAUCAUUACGAGAUGAAUCCAAAAUCCCCCAAAAGAGGAGAUGAAGAUUCUUAUAGGGCUUAUGUCAAUGGAGGGUCCAUCAACUUCAUCGUGACUGAUGAUCUGUGUAUCGUCAAUUUCUCCCUGGCCAAGAGUCUCCAAGCCAUACGUGCAGCCAAGAUUCCCAAGGGCAAGCUUGUGGAGAAAGAGCUAACGCUUGACAAAACCCAGGUAUCAGCAAGGCAAGAGAAGUACAUCUUUUUCUCCCCUUUUUCAGUUUUGUAUGUUCUCAACGGCUGUUUUUUCUGGCAACAGGUUUUGAAGCUACUAAGAGCUGUAAUGAUUACUCGCAAUGCUCUAAGCAGCGUGCUCUUACCACCAAUUUGA
rnacentral:rRNA from 1 species